rnacentral:rRNA from 1 species
GACGAACGCUGGCGGCGCGCUUAACACAUGCAAGUCGAACGAGCGAGCGCGGGCUUGCUUUCUUGCGCGAGUGGCGAACGGGUGAGUAACGCGUGAGGAACCUGCCCUUAAGAGUGGGAUAACAGCUGGAAACGACUGCUAAUACCGCAUAAGCGCACCUUGCCCCAUGUCAGGGUGGGAAAAGCAGCAAUCGGCUUUGGGAUGGCCUCGCGUCCGAUUAGCUAGUUGGUGUGGUAACGGCCCAGCAAGGCGACGAUGGGGAGCCGGGCGGAGAUGUGGAACCACCGCGUUGGAGCUGAGGCACGGCCUCAACUGCGACGGAGAACAGCAGAAGAGAACAUUGCGCGCUGAAGGAAGAUCUAACGCAGCGGCGUGGGGGAGGGGGAGAAGGUGUUCGGAUUGUGAAUUCGUGUUGGAGGAAGAGUUAGUGACGGUAACGGGCAAAGAAGUGACGGCUAACUACGUG